CACGCAUGACACACUGCAUAUCAAUAAGCGGAGGAAAAGAAACUAACUAGGAUUCCCUCAGUAACGGCGAGUGAAGCGGGAAGAGCUCAAAUUUGAAAUCUUCAAGGUUCUACCUUGACGAAUUGUAGUUUAAAGAAGUGUUUUCUGUUGGAGUUUUGGUAAAAGUUCUUUGGAAUAGGACAUCAUAGAGGGUGAGAAUCCCGUAUUUGACCAUUAUUUCCAACUUUGUGAUACACUUUCAAAGAGUCGGAUUGUUUGGGAAUGCAGUCCAAAAUGGGUGGUAAAUUUCAUCUAAAGCUAAAUAUUGGCGAGAGACCGAUAGCGAACAAGUACCGUGAGGGAAAGAUGAAAAGAACUUUGAAAAGAGAGUUAAACAGUACGUGAAAUUGUCAAAAGGGAAGCGUUUGACACCAGUGUUGUUUUCUCGAAAAUCAAUUAAAAAUGGUGGGAUGUUGUGUUGUAUUGACUUUAUCAGCUUUCUGCACUUUUUUUCCUAUCUUUUUUAAUGCACUUUUCGUUUAACAAGUCAACAUCAAUUUCUUUUGUUGUAAAAGAGUCAUUGGAAGGUGGCUUUCAUUUCGGAUGAAAGUGUUUAUAGCCUUUGAUCUCUGCAAUCGGAGAGACUCGAGGUCUGCAGCGUAGAUCCUUCGGGGUUAGAUACAUUUGUGCUAAGUUAUAAGCCUUUUCAUAGACAGCUUGUUGACUAUGAUUUAGUCAUGUAGCUUACUCGCUUAUGUCUAUUUUACCUACGCUUAGGAUGUUGAAGAUGUAGCACAUCAU
rnacentral:rRNA from 1 species